GCAGAGGCUGUAGUGAGCCAAGAUUGUACCACUGCACUCCAGCCUGGAUGACAGAGCAAGACUCUGUCAAAAUAAAUGAAAAUAAAAACGUAAAAAUGAAACACACAGUUGGUGCCUUGCCAUGCCAAGCCUUUUGAUGGCACCUUGGUGUCUAGAGAACACAGUAAUAUCCUCAUCUUGGCAGACAGAACCCUCCAUACUGGCCUCAUCCUGGUCAUUUCCCCCAUCCUAACUAGAAUAAUUGCAGCUCUCAUCACAAGGCCUUUGUGUCUUCUGGCCUUUGCAUGCACUGUUCCCUGUGCUUCAAACACUCUUCUCUCUGUCUCAGGCCUAAGCUAUUCCUGUUCAUUCUUCAAGUCCCACUCUGAAUUCACCUUCCUUGGGUCACGGCCCCAACCCCUAGGCUGGGCUAGAACCUCUCCCCCAUGCUUCCUUAGCACUGGUGCUCCCUCUCAGCACUCGUUACAGGGGUCCCAGUUCUCCAUUCACCAGCCCGAGGGCAGAAGAUGUGUCUUGCAUCCCUGCAUUUCCCCGGCAUCCAGCUCAGUGUCUGGUGUGAGGUAGGUGCUUCGGAAAUUUCUGUUGCCUGGAAAUGGACUCCAUUUCAUUAACUCAUUCUCCUAAGUAUCCUACCUGCUUGGCAUUUCAGAAACCUAGAAUUAUUUGGAAGUCGACUUUUAGGCAAUUAAAAACCACCGGCAGCGGUGGAGCCAUUCUUGGUGGAAGAGCUGUCACCUGGAAUCAGUGCAGAGUGCCAAAUACAGUGCCUCCCAUUUAGGCACUGGCACAGCCGUGGCUGGUUCUGUGCUCCCAUCUGCCUCAUGGGAGGCAGGACAGGCGUCACUAUGCCAGUUUUCUAGACAAGGACACUGAACUUCAGAGAAAUUAACUCACCUGCCCAAGCUGGCCAAGCUUAUUGGUGGCAGAGCUAACUAGGACCAGGCUGCUGUCAUAAACCACCCUCCAGGUAGCUGCUGGAUCAUCUGGCCUUUGUGACCCAAAGAGGGCCGAGUCACACAGAUAAAUAGGACACCUCUGAUGGCUUCCACUCUGGACAGCAACAGUGACCCCAGUCACCCCCACCCCAAAGCCAGGGAAACAUCAUCUUAUCAUCUCUGGAUUUUUCUUCACCCCCUUGGGUUAAAGCUAAGCAGACAGGGUGGCACUUCUGAAUUCAGAGGCUGCGAUGAGCUGAGAAAAACAAGCUUCCGUGGCCCCCUCCAGGACCCACCAGGUCAUCGAGGAGCUGGACCCCUACCAGCAGCCCUGAGGAGGGAAAGAAUUCCCGAUUAACCCCAUCACCUGUGAGCAGGGCCAGGGCAAAGGUCUGGCUUUUUCUCUUACUAAGCGAUUCCCAUGGCCAUUAGACAUUGGCAGGGCUCAGCAGCGUUUCUAGGAAGCCCGCCCAGACUAGAGAAAUGCCUUCUACACCUGCUGCUCUUUGGGGCCAUGCAGAGCAGGGAGUAGGUGUGCACAUCCUUGGGAUGGCGGGAGAGGAGGUCUGAGGAAGGCAGGGGUCGCGUGAGGCUGGGGGAAGCUGCAGGGGGAUGGUGGUGGUCUCCUGAUCAAUCAUGGGGGUGGAGCAGGCUUGUGUGUCACAUGGAGCGAUGGGGGUUGGCCUAAUUUAGACUUGAGGGGCUGGCUUAGAGACCAGUCUCUCUGGGCUCGCACUAAUAAUGACCUCAUUCAUUCCUUACGCGCUCCUCGCAUCAAGGUAUCUUAAUUUAUAUCUAUUUAUUUUAUUUACUUUGAGACGGAGUCUCGUUCUGUCACCCAGGCUGGAGUUCCAGUGGUGCAAUCUCAGCUCACUGCAACCUCCUCCUCCCAGUUCAAGUGAUUCUCCUGCCUCAGCCUCCUGAGUAGCUGGGACUACAGACGUGUGCCACCAUGCCCGGCUAAUUUUUAUAUUUUUAAGUUGAGACGGGGUUUUACCAUGUUGGCCAGACUGGUCUUGAACCCCUGACCUCAGGUGAUUCAUCCAUCUCAGCCUCCCAUAGGCGUGAGCCACAGUGCCCGGCUGUCUUAAUUUACAGAUGAGAACACUGAGACUUAGCGGGGUUACAUAAAGCAUCCAAAGAUACGCAGCAGGCAGGUGGCCAGCUGAAACCUAAAUUUAGGCCUCACUGACUCCAACUUGGGCGCGUAAGCACCAGUUGGAUCAGAUGCACCAGGUCAGUAUUGAAGUGUGAAGACUUCUGAGGGAUGCUCGGAUCACCUGAGUUCUACUCUCCUCUGAAUGUACUUCACCCCUCUGGAGAGCCUUCUUUGGUUAUCUCUAUCUCCUUUUGGGACCCCAUUUUCCUGGACCAUUAGGACGUGGGAUGGUAGGAAGAGUUCAGUAUUUUUAGACACAGAGCCUGAGUCUGAUUCUCCAAGGUGGUCCCUUUGGACAAAUCAAUUAAUUCCUCUGAAACUCAUUUUCUUUAUCUUUAAGAAGGAAGCAAUACGACCCAUUCUAUGUACUUCACUGAGUUGAAAGAGAAUUAAAUGAGAAGGGGCAUGAAAGGGCUUUCCAUUCUGAGUGUUAGUGUCACAGUGAUUAUCACAGGAGCUCCUGACUGUUUCCUCCACACCCACCUUCCGCUCCAAGCAUCCUGCCUUCACAUUCACCUGCCUCGGCACUGCCAUAUGCAUGUCAUGCUCCUGCUCAGGAACCAUCAGUGGCUCCCUGCUCCUGCUUCCUUAGUUUGGAAUCCUGCCUUCCCCAGACCAACCCACCUCUACCUCCCAAGCUUCGAGCCUCUGCUUCCCUGCCCUGCCUGAGCUGACCGUGGGCUCAAGUCAUGGAUUCUAUGUUGGGUGCUCUAAUACACUCUGUGUUUUCACACCUCUGUGCCUUUGCUGGCUCCCUAAAGUGAUUUGUCCUCACUUCCAAGCUGGCUCAGAUCCCAGCUCCUCCUCCAGCAGCCUUCCCGACCACUCAGCCUGUAGCAGCCUUUCCUCCCCCUUGCCUUGAUUGUUCUCGGCAUUGACUUCGCUGGAGUGUUGAUUUCCACACGUAAUCAGUCUCCAGGUUGGAUCAUAUGCUUCUUGAGGACAAAGAGGAAAUGGAGGCCCAGAGCAGGUAUGUGAUCUGCCCGAUUGUGCAGAAUUCAAAGCCCACCUGGAACCUACGUGUCCUGACCGCCAUCCAGCGCCCAGCUUCCUACUCUAUGCUGCCUCUUGGGUGACACACACAGCAGCAAGUGAGCCCUGCAGACACAGACAUUCCAGAACCCCAGGCCUGGGACCAGCGCUCAGGAGCCAUCCUCUCAGCUAGAUUGCCUUCAGCCUGCCAGGAGGAGGAGCAGCCCAGCCUAGACUGAAAGCCUCCAAGGAGGAAGUUCUACCUGCUUCUCCACGCCUGCAGACCCACUGUACCUUGUGCAUUUCAUCUGGAAUUUUCUUCUGUUGAAAGGAAGGUGCUGGGUGGGAGGAGGAGGGAGAGGAUCAGGAAAAAUAACUAAUAAAUACUAGGCUUAAUACCUGACACAAGUUUACGUAUAUAACAAACCUGCACAUGUACCACUGAACUUAAAAGAAAAGUUAAACAAAAAUAAAGGUGCUGUUGCCAUGACCCAAGCCACAUUCUCUAGAGCUGUACCAUCCAAUACGCUAGCUGUUAGCCACAUGCAGCUCCUGAGUACUUGAAACAUGGCUAGGGCAAGCUGAGAUGUGAUGUCGCUGUAAAGCAUGCACUGGCUUUCAAAGACAGUACAGAAAAAGGUAA